GGGGGCGCAGCUCAGAUGGUAGAGCGCUCGCUUAGCAUGCGAGAGGUACGGGGAUCGAUACCGCGCCUCCA
rnacentral:tRNA from 1 species